GCAGACUGGGCAUCCAGGUUGCCUCUCCCGCACCACUUGCAGGAUGCCAGGAUGAUGGAGGAGGCCCUCGACGGGGCUCCCUCCCUCCCUCCACACCACCACCACCACCACCACCACCGCCGUGGCUGCCUCUGAAGAGGACGAGGAGUGUGGCUGAGAGCCCAGAAAGGGGCACUUCACAUCUCCCGAGGCCAUCAGAGUCAGCCUCUCUGGCCCAAGCAGCUGCCUCUGUUUGCUCAGCAGCCCAGACGGCCAAUGCUUCAUGUAGAGAGCAAUGUGGUGUUUGCAAAACAUCGACUCUGCCUCUUCCUGUGGGCCGACCUCCCCGCGUGUUCCACCGGGAGGCGAUUCUUGCGAACUCGAGUGCUACCUCCUCUGAUGAAGUGCUUCACAUCCCUCUAUAAUCUGCACAGUGUGAAGGACUAACAAGCUCAGCUCAAGGGCAAUCCACCAGCCUGAAAACACCUGGAUCAAAUCCACCCCAUGUACAUGUUGUCAACACAAGCAGUUGUUGAGUGAAAACAGCGAGUUGUACAUGAUGGCCUUCAAUUUGUGUUUGUUGAAAAGAGAAAUGUAAAUUCAUGCAGUACUUUGUGCGUGGAUAUUGCUAAUUGUAAAGUACCAAAAAACAGACAAAGAAGAUAAAAAUAAAUUCAUGACAGAGGCUGCAUCUCUCAGGGAAGAAAGGGAAAUGAGAGAGGGAGACGAUGGGAUGAGCUUAGCUAUGAUUUCUGUUUUUAGUUUUAUUAAAAAUAUUAGGAGAGACCAAUAACAACUGCCAAUGUGGGGUGGUAGAAACACA
rnacentral:lncRNA from 10 species